rnacentral:rRNA from 1 species
UACGUAGGGCGCAAGCGUUAUCCGGAAUUAUUGGGCGUAAAGCGCACGUAGGCGGUUCGUUAAGUCGGACGUGAAAGCCCUCGGCUCAACCGAGGAAGUGCAUCCGAAACUGGCGAGCUAGAGUACGAAAGAGGGUCGCGGAAUUCCCGGUGUAGAGGUGAAAUUCGUAGAUAUCGGGAGGAACACCAGUGGCGAAGGCGGCGAUCUGGGUCGAUACUGACGCUGAGGUGCGAAAGCGUGGGGAGCAAACAGG